rnacentral:lncRNA from 1 species
AAAUUACAAAUUCACUCAUGGCAAUUCUUGUCUAUUCAGCUACAAAAUGAGAAGCAUGCAUGUUAUCCUGCAGCUUAUACCCAUACUAUGCAAUAUAGAGGUGGCUGCCUCACUUUGGGGGGAAAGCGGAAGGUAUCACAAAAAGAACUAAAGGCUUAGUCCCUACAAAAGUGAAAACAACUGAAGAGCUACACUAGCAGAAAUAGAGCUGCCUAGUCUGUGUGUCACUUAUGAGAAUGGCCAGUGCAAAGUGGUGAAAGAAUGUGAGUCUUAUAAUAGAUAUAUGUACAUUAAGAAUAAAUUGGGAUCAGUCUGCUUCAAGAUUUAAAUUGC